GUUAAUUUCUUUCAUCACAUUCCCAGUGGGUCACAAGUUUACAUACACUCAAAUAGUAUUUGGUAGCAUUGCCUUUAAAUUGUUUAACUUGGGUCAAACGUUUCAGGUAUCCUUCCACAAGAUUCCCACAAUAAGUUGGGUGAAUUUUGGCCCAUUCCUCCUGACAGAGCUGGUGUAACUGAGUCAGGUUCUGGGACGGCGGAUCAUAAUUAGUCAUGCAGCUAAUUUCCCACAAUGCCCUGCAGCCCUGGUCUCCAGCGGCACGCUCAUACAUAUUCAACAGUAUGCUAAUGAGCACCACUGCACCCAGGUGAGAUGCUGCCACGGAGAAGGCCAAUCAGAACACGGACACGCUGACCAAUCAAAUGACAGAACUGAAACAGUGACCAAUCAGAUUCUAGAACACAGACACACUAAUCAAUCAGAGCCC
rnacentral:lncRNA from 1 species